UUUUUAGUUUUAUUAAUCUUAAGACGAAUCUCCUACAAAUCAAUUUUUAAACUCACACCCCUUUUAAGUCAAAACUUCGACACUAGGUCGCCGUAUCUUGAAAAUCUCGACCAUACCCAUUUUAGCCAAACAAACCAUUUUAAUCAAACAAAUAAUUUUAAUCGAAAAAAAAAAUAUUUCAAAAGGUUCAUACGGAGUACCGUAGAUGCAUUGGGUGCUAGUACCUUCCCAUUAUAUAACCAACCCCCGAACUCUCGAUCUCUUUUAAAAAUGCAUUGUAUUUUCAUUAAUUUUAAGUGUUAUUUUACAUUACAUAUUUUAGGGUUUUAUUUCGCUCUUUUACCUUUUCUCUUGGAAAUAAUAAAGCGCGGUGGCGACUCUUUCUUAUUUGCGAGUCAAGUUAAUUAA